rnacentral:rRNA from 4 species
UUCCAGCUCCAAUAGCGUAUAUUAAAGUUGUUGCGGUUAAAAAGCUCGUAGUCGAAUCUGUGUCCCGCGUCGCCGGUUCAUCGUCCGCGGUGUUAACUGGCGUACCGCGGGACGUCCUGCCGGUGGGCUUAGCUCGCAAGGGCGGCCCAACUCAAUCCCGCCGCGGUGCUCUUCACUGAGUGUCGAGGUGGGCCGGCACGUUUACUUUGAACAAAUUAGAGUGCUUAAAGCAGGCUAAAACUUCGCCUGAAUACUGUGUGCAUGGAAUAAUGGAAUAGGACCUCGGUUCUAUUUUGUUGGUUUUCGGAACCCCGAGGUAAUGAUUAAUAGGAACGGAUGG